GCAGCCACCAUUUAAAGAGUGCGUAAUAGCUCACUGGUCGAGAGACCCUGCGCCGAAGAUUCCCGGGGCUAAAGUACGAAACCGAAGCUGUGGCUGUAUACGUAAAGUAUACGGGGUAGGGGAGCGUUCCCAUAGGGUAGAAGUCGAACUGGAAGGUUCGGUGGACUUGUGGGAAGUGAGAAUGUUGGUAUGAGUAGCGAAAAGAAAGGUGAGAAUCCUUUCCACCGAAAGCAUAAGGAUUCCUGAGCAACGAUCGUCGUCUCAGGGUAAGUCGGGACCUAAUCCGAGGCAGAGAGCGUAGGAGAUGGACAACUGGUUGAUAUUCCAGUACCGGUAGUAAUUGUUUGAGCAAUGGAGUGACACAGAAGGGCAGGCAAGCAUGCGAAUGGAAGAGCAUGUGUAAGCGUGUAGGGUGGUGCAUAGGCAAAUCCGUGCACUGAAAGCCUGAGGCGUGAUGCGGAGUGAGCAGAGAUGCGAGCGAAGUUGUUGACCCCACACUGUCGAGAAAAGCUUCUAGUGAGAGAGCUACCGCCCGUACCGUAAACCGACACAGGUAUGCGGGGAGAGAAUCCUAAGGUGCGCGGGAGAACCCUCGUUAAGGAACUCGGCAAAAUGUACCCGUAACUUCGGGAUAAGGGUAGCCACUGUUGUGAAGUCCCAUGCGGAUGGAGCAUAGAGUGGUCGCAGAGAAGAGGCCCAAGCGACUGUUUACCAUAAACACAGGUGCCUGCUAAAGCGAAAGCUGACGUAUAGGUGCUGACACCUGCCCAGUGCCGGAAGGUUAAGGAAGGAUGUUCGGAGUAAUCCAAAGCAUUCGACUGAAGCCCCGGUGAACGGCGGCCGUAACUAUAACGGUCCUAAGGUAGCGAAAUUCCUUGUCGGGUAAGUUCCGACCCGCACGAAAGGUGUAACGAUUUGGGCACUGUCUCAACGAGGGACCCGGUGAAAUUGAAAUACCUGUGAAGAUGCAGGUUACCCGCGACUGGACAGAAAGACCCCAUGGAGCUUUACUGUAACCUGACAUUGGGUUUUGAUACAUUACGUACAGGAUAGGUGGGAGGCUUGGAAAGCUGGACGCUAGUCUGGCUGGAGCCGACGUUGGGAUACCACCCUUGAUGUAUUGAAAUUCUAACCGCGAGAGUAACGAAAUCCGGGACAGUGUCAGGCGGGCAGUUUGACUGGGGCGGUCGCCUCCGAAAGAGUAACGG
rnacentral:rRNA from 1 species